UUAUUUAUUUUCAUUUUACUUAAAAUAUAUGUUUUUGUUAAGUUAACAUAUGUUUUUCUAAUCAAGUCUACGUAAUUGUGUCUAUUAUUCAACGUACAUAAUACUAAUGUGUUACUUGAUCGCAUAACAUUUAAGUUAAGUCAAUGAGGAUCGAUAUACCUUGUAUAUCCACAAGGUGGCAGUAAUGCAAAAACAGUUGUAAUGAAACCGCGCAGAACAAGAAGGUUUCACGGCUUGUGCCUGCUCAUGCGCAAGACUUCAAAUUUAACUGAAAAAGGCUGUUUUGGCGCCAAGCUGCUGUUUCUUUGAGAGAUCCUGCCUUUACCUGCUCCCUCCUAUACUGAUGUGGUGUAUGUGGUACUGCUGAGCUUGUAUGUGGUGGAAGCAGAAUAUGUGAGGAUUACUACUGCUGCACAUGUUCCAAGGCUUUUUACACAACUUGACCAAUACACUGACCAGCUCAUAAAAGUCUUCAAGAAAAAAGGAGGCGUUGCAGGGAAGAAAAUUAGACAAACUUUGGCCCCAGCCACACAGAAGGAAACCAUUGAAAAGGGGAGGGAGUGUGUCCUCAGGGCACUACCUUUUUACCUGAAUGAAGACCCAAGCAUCCUCUUCAAAGAAUAAUUGCUACAGCUGUUCAGAGGGAGCUGGAACAAAUUACCCUUGCUAUCUUUACCAUCGAAAGAGCUGAUGCCAGCACUCCUCCAGCCGAUGUGGGUAUAACCAUCUAGUGUGUCCUGCAUGACCUGGAAGACCUGGCCUCUGCAUGUGCACUCUUAAUGGGUGGGAUAUAUGCACUGAAUCUCAGUUAACCUCAAGACUGAAAGCUAAGAGACAAUCAAAAGUAUUGAGAUUUAAAGGAUUUAAUUGAGAGAUGAUACUGCACCAGAAAUGUUGAAGGGUGGUGUGUAUAUUAGCGUUCAAGGCAUAUUGUUAUGAGGUGGAAAUAUGUUCAUAUUCAGUUUGUGUUACAUUGUGUGCAUUGUAAAGGUAAUUGCAAUACAUACUAAAAAUAAGGGUAAGUUAGGAGGUUGAU